rnacentral:rRNA from 1 species
GACAGAGGGGGCAAGCGUUGCUCGGAAUCACUGGGCGUAAAGGGCGCGUAGGCGGGAUGGCAAGUCAGUCGUGAAAUCUCUCGGCUCAACCGAGAAACGUCGGCUGAUACUGCCGUUCUUGAGGGAUGCAGAGGAGACUGGAAUUCCCGGUGUAGCGGUGAAAUGUGUAGAGAUCGGGAGGAACACCGGUGGCGAAGGCGGGUCUCUGGGCCUUACCUGACGCUGAGGAGCGAAAGCGUGGGUAGCGAACAGG